UAUUAGGGACAGCUAAGAUACUUAGGAGGGUUCUUGACAUCUAAGGCAACUUGUAGCCCGAUGUUAGGAUUCUUUUCUUUGCCAACAGUCUAAUCUGCUGAGUGUAUAAUAAUGAUAAUAAUAAUAAUAAUAAU